rnacentral:rRNA from 1 species
UAAGGAGAGAGGGAUAACUGCAGUCGACGAUGAACCCUUCGGUGGGGAUUAGUGGCGAACGGGUGAGUAACACGUGGGCAAUCUGCCCUGCACUCUGGGACAAGCCCUGGAAACGGGGUCUAAUACCGGAUACUGAUCAUCUUGGGCAUCCAAGGUGUUCGAAAGCUCCGGCGGUGCAGGAUGAGCCCGCGGCCUAUCAGCUUGUUGGUGAGGUAAUGGCUCACCAAGGCGACGACGGGUAGCCGGCCUGAGAGGGCGACCGGCCACACUGGGACUGAGACACGGCCCAGACUCCUACGGGAGGCAGCAGUGGGGAAUAUUGCACAAUGGGCGAAAGCCUGAUGCAGCGACGCCGCGUGAGGGAUGACGGCCUUCGGGUUGUAAACCUCUUUCAGCAGGGAAGAAGCGAAAGUGACGGUACCUGCAGAAGAAGCGCCGGCUAACUACGUGCCAGCAGCCGCGGUAAUACGUAGGGCGCGAGCGUUGUCCGGAAUUAUUGGGCGUAAAGAGCUCGUAGGCGGCUUGUCACGUCGGUUGUGAAAGCCCGGGGCUUAACCCCGGGUCUGCAGUCGAUACGGGCAGGCUAGAGUUCGGUAGGGGAGAUCGGAAUUCCUGGUGUAGCGGUGAAAUGCGCAGAUAUCAGGAGGAACACCGGUGGCGAAGGCGGAUCUCUGGGCCGAUACUGACGCUGAGGAGCGAAAGCGUGGGGAGCGAACAGGAUUAGAUACCCUGGUAGUCCACGCCGUAAACGGUGGGCACUAGGUGUGGGCAACAUUCCACGUUGUCCGUGCCGCAGCUAACGCAUUAAGUGCCCCGCCUGGGGAGUACGGCCGCAAGGCUAAAACUCAANAGGAAUUGACGGGGGCCCGCACAAGCGGCGGAGCAUGUGGCUUAAUUCGACGCAACGCGAAGAACCUCACCAAGGCUUGACAUACACCGGAAAACCCCGGAGACAGGGUCCCCCUCGUGGUCGGUGUACAGCUGGUGCAUGGCUGUCGUCAGCUCGUGUCGUGAGAUGAUGGGUUAAGUCCCGCAACGAGCGCAACCCUCGUCCCGUGUUGCCAGCAAGCCCCCUCGGGGGUGUUGGGGACUCACGGGAGACCGCCGGGGUCAACUCGGAGGAAGGUGGGGACGACGUCAAGUCAUCAUGCCCCUUAUGUCUUGGGCUGCACACGUGCUACAAUGGCCGGUACAAUGAGCUGCGAUACCGCGAGGUGGAGCGAAUCUCAAAAAGCCGGUCUCAGUUCGGAUUGGGGUCUGCAACUCGACCCCAUGAAGUCGGAGUCGCUAGUAAUCGCAGAUCAGCAUUGCUGCGGUGAAUACGUUCCCGGGCCUUGUACACACCGCCCGUCACGUCACGAAAGUCGGUAACACCCGAAGCCGGUGGCCCAACCCCUGGGGAGGAGCCUAUAGUGUCCGCAUCGGG